rnacentral:rRNA from 1 species
UUAACAAGGUCUCCGUAGGUGAACCUGCGGAGGGAUCAUUAC